rnacentral:rRNA from 1 species
CCUACGGGUGGCAGCAGUGGGGAAUAUUGGGCAAUGGGCGCAAGCCUGACCCAGCAACGCCGCGUGAAGGAAGAAGGCUUUCGGGUUGUAAACUUCUUUUAGCAGGGAAGAGCAGACGACGGUACCUGUCGAAUAAGCCACGGCUAACUACGUGCCAGCAGCCGCGGUAAUACGUAGGUGGCAAGCGUUGUCCGGAUUUACUGGGUGAAAUGGGCGUGUAGCGGGGCUGACAAGCCAGAUGUGAAAUCCGGGGGCUCAAGCCCCGAACUGCCUUUGAAACUGUUGGUCUGGAGUAUCGGAGGGGCAGGCGGAAUUCAGGGUGUAGAGGUGAAAUGCGUAGAUAUUAGGAGGAAAACCAGGGGCGAAGGGGCCUGCUGGACGACAACUGACGGUGAGGCGCGAAAGCGUGGGGAGCAAACAGGAUUAGAUACCCCUGUAGUC